rfam:Trichomalopsis sarcophagae strain Alberta scaffold182, whole genome shotgun sequence.
GUGUUGUAUGAAAGGAGAGAAGUUUAGCACUCCCCUAGACAAGGAUGGAACACAUAUACUCGUAAGGCACUCGCCGUGCUUGCACGGUUCUUACGACAUUUUUUUU